AUUAAACGCUGGCGGCAUGCCUUACACAUGCAAGUCGAACGGCAGCACGGGGGCAACCCUGGUGGCGAGUGGCGGACGGGUGAGUAAAGCAUCGGAACGUAUCCUGGAGUGGGGGAUAACGUAGCGAAAGUUACGCUAAUACCGCAUAUUCUGUGAGCAGGAAAGCAGGGGGAUCGCAAGACCUUGCGCUCUGGGAGCGGCCGAUGUCGGGAUUAGCUAGUUGGUGGGGUAAAGGCCUACCAAGGCGACGAUCCGUAGCGGGUCUGAGAGGAUGAUCCGCCACACUGGGACUGAGACACGGCCCAGACUCCUACGGGAGGCAGCAGUGGGGAAUUUUGGACAAUGGGCGGAAGCCUGAUCCAGCCAUGCCGCGUGAGUGAAGAAGGCCUUCGGGUUGGU
rnacentral:rRNA from 1 species